AGUGCGAUUGCUGGAUCAUAUGUUAUGAGUAUGUUUACUUUUGUAAAAACUGCUAAACUGUCCUCCAAAGUAGCUGUACCAUUUUGUAUUUCCACCAGCAAU
rnacentral:pre_miRNA from 1 species